rnacentral:rRNA from 1 species
AUUGAACGCUGGCGGCAUGCCUUACACAUGCAAGUCGAACGGCAGCACGGGAGCAAUCCUGGUGGCGAGUGGCGAACGGGUGAGUAAUACAUCGGAACGUGCCCUGUAGUGGGGGAUAACUAGUCGAAAGACUGGCCAAUACCGCAUACGACCUGAGGGUGAAAGUGGGGGACCGCAAGGCCUCAUGCUAUAGGAGCGGCCGAUGUCUGAUUAGCUAGUUGGUGGGGUAAAGGCCUACCAAGGCGACGGUCAGUAGCUGGUCUGAGAGGACGAUCAGCCACACUAGGACUGGGACACGGCCCAGACUCCUACGGGCGGCAGCGGUGGGGAAUUUUGGACAAUGGGGGCAACCCUGAUCCAGCAAUGCCGCGUGUGUGAAGAAGGCCUUCGGGUUGUAAAGCACUUUUAUCCGGAAAGAAAUCGCUUCGGUUAAUACCUGGAGUGGAUGACGGUACCGGAAGAAUAAGGACCGGCUACCUACGUGCCAGCAGCCGCCGUAAUAC